rnacentral:rRNA from 1 species
CCCCUAGACGUUCUGGGCUGCACGCGCGCUACAAUAAUACGCACAGCGAGUAUCACCGAGCUCGAAAGGGCAAGGUAAACAAUAGAAAAGGUACUGUAAUGGUUAUAGAUCCUUGUAAUUAUUGAUCUUCAACGAGGAAUUCCUAGUAAGUAUGUGUCAUCAUCACGCACUGAUUACGUCCCUGCCCUUUGUACACACCGCCCGUCGCUCCUACCGAUUGAACGGUUUAGUGAGGGCCUCGGAUUGGUCUCGGCCCGCUCUUUACCGGGCGGCGCCGUUGGUCGAGAAGACGCUCGAACUUGAUCGUUUAGAGGAAGUAAAAGUCGUAACA